GAUGAACGCUGGCGGCGUGCCUAAUACAUGCAAGUCGAGCGAACGGACGAGAAGCUUGCUUCUCUGAUGUUAGCGGCGGACGGGUGAGUAACACGUGGAUAACCUACCUAUAAGACUGGGAUAACUUCGGGAAACCGGAGCUAAUACCGGAUAAUAUUUUGAACCGCAUGGUUCAAAAGUGAAAGACGGUCUUGCUGUCACUUAUAGAUGGAUCCGCGCUGCAUUAGCUAGUUGGUAAGGUAACGGCUUACCAAGGCAACGAUGCAUAGCCGACCUGAGAGGGUGAUCGGCCACACUGGACCUGAGACACGGUCCAGACUCCUACGGGAGGCAGCAGUAGGGAAUCUUCCGCAAUGGGCGAAAGCCUGACGGAGCAACGCCGCGUGAGUGAUGAAGGUCUUCGGAUCGUAAAACUCUGUUAUUAGGGAAGAACAUAUGUGUAAGUAACUGUGCACAUCUUGACGGUACCUAAUCAGAAAGCCACGGCUAACUACGUG
rnacentral:rRNA from 1 species